rnacentral:rRNA from 1 species
AGGAUGAACGCUAGCGGCAGGCUUAACACAUGCAAGUCGAGGGGUAGUAUAGCAAUAUAUGAGACCGGCGCACGGGUGCGUAACGCGUAUGCAAUCUGCCUUCCACAAAGGGAUAGCCCAGAGAAAUUUGGAUUAAUACCUUAUAGUAUUACGGGAUGGCAUCUAUUUCGUAAUUAAAGAUUUAGUCGGUGGAAGAUGAGCAUGCCGUCCCAUUAGCUUGUUGGUAGGGUACGGCCUACCAGGCUAUGAUGGGUAGGGUCCUGAGAGGGAGACUCCCCCACACGUGGUACUGACGACACGGACCAGACUACCGUACGGGAGGCAGCAGUGAGGAAUACGUGGUACAAGUGGGCGACGAACGCCUACGAACCACGG